GAUGAAGAACGCAGCGAAUUGCGAUAUGUAAUGUGAAUUGCAGAUUUUCAGUGAAUCAUCGAAUCUUUGAACGCACAUUGCGCCCCUUGGUAUUCCAUGGGGCAUGCCUGUUCGAGCGUCAUUUGUACCCUCAAGCUAUGCUUGGUGUUGGGUGUUUGUCCUCUCCUUUUGCGAUUGGACUCGCCUUAAAGACAUUGGCAGCCAGUGUAUUGGUCUUGAAGCGCAGCACAUUUUGCGAUUCUUGCUGAUAAUCACUAGCGUCCAGUAAGCCUAUUUUAACACUUUUGACCUCGGAUCAGGUAGGGAUACCCGCUGAACUUAAGCAUAUCAAUAAGCGGAGGA
rnacentral:misc_RNA from 1 species